GACGAACGCUGGCGGCGUGCUUAACACAUGCAAGUCGAACGCUGAAGCUCAGCUUUUGUUGGGUGGAUGAGUGGCGAACGGGUGAGUAACACGUGAGUAACCUGCCUCCUUCUUUGGGAUAACGCCCGGAAACGGGUGCUAAUACUGGAUAUUCACUGGUCUUCGCAUGGGGGUUGGUGGAAAGGGUUUUUCUGGUGGGGGAUGGGCUCGCGGCCUAUCAGCUUGUUGGUGGGGUGAUGGCCUACCAAGGCUUUGACGGGUAGCCGGCCUGAGAGGGUGACCGGUCACAUUGAGACUGAGAUACGGCCCAGACUCCUACGGGAGGCAGCAGUGGGGAAUAUUGCACAAUGGGCGAAAGCCUGAUGCAGCGACGCCGCGUGAGGGAUGGAGGCCUUCGGGUUGUGAACCUCUUUCGCUCAUGGUCAAGCCGCAACAAUGGUUGUGGUGAGGGUAGUGGGUAAAGAAGCGCCGGCUAACUACGUG
rnacentral:rRNA from 1 species